rnacentral:rRNA from 1 species
UAGGGAAUCUUCGGCAAUGGGGGGAACCCUGACCGAGCAACGCCGCGUGAGUGAAGAAGGUUUUCGGAUCGUAAAGCUCUGUUGUAAGAGAAGAACGGGUGUGAGAGUGGAAAGUUCACACUGUGACGGUAUCUUACCAGAAAGGGACGGCUAACUACGUGCCAGCAGCCGCGGUAAUACGUAGGUCCCGAGCGUUGUCCGGAUUUAUUGGGCGUAAAUCGAGCGCAGGCGGUUAGAUAAGUCUGAAGUUAAAGGCUGUGGCUUAACCAUAGUAUGCUUUGGAAACUGUUUAACUUGAGUGCAGAAGGGGAGAGUGGAAUUCCAUGUGUAGCGGUGAAAUGCGUAGAUAUAUGGAGGAACACCGGUGGCGAAAGCGGCUCUCUGGUCUGUAACUGAC